CGCGGAGGACAUUACAG
rnacentral:rRNA from 1 species